GUACGCUGGCGGCAGGCUUAACACAUGUCAAGUCGAGACGGGGGUAGGUUGCUUCGGUAACUGACCUAGCGGCGGACGGGUGAGUAAUGCUUAGGAAUCUGCCUAUUAGUGGGGGACAACAUUCCGAAAGGGAUGCUAAUACCGCAUACGCCCUACGGGGGAAAGCAGGGGAUCUUCGGACCUUGCGCUAAUAGAUGAGCCUAAGUCGGAUUAGCUAGUUGGUGGGGUAAAGGCCUACCAAGGCGACGAUCUGUAGCGGGUCUGAGAGGAUGAUCCGCCACACUGGGACUGAAACGCGGCCCAGACUCCUACGGGAGGCAGCAGUGGGGAAUAUUGGACAAUGGGCGGAAGCCUGAUCCAGCCAUGCCCCGUGUGUGAAGAAGGCCUUUUGGUUGUAAAGCACUUUAAACCGAGGAGGAGGCUCCUUUAGUUAAUACCUAAAGAGAGUGGACGUUACUCGCAGAAUAAGCACCGGCUAACUCUGUGCCAGCAGCCGCGGUAAUACAGAGGGUGCGAGCGUUAAUCGGAUUUACUGGGCGUAAAGCGUGCGUAGGCGGCUUUUUAAGUCGGAUGUGAAAUCCCUGAGCUUAACUUAGGAAUUGCAUUCGAUACUGGAAAGCUAGAGUAUGGGAGAGGAUGGUAGAAUUCCAGGUGUAGCGGUGAAAUGCGUAGAGAUCUGGAGGAAUACCGAUGGCGAAGGCAGCCAUCUGGCCUAAUACUGACGCUGAGGUACGAAAGCAUGGGGAGCAAACAGGAUUAGAUACCCUGGUAGUCCAUGCCGUAAACGAUGUCUACUAGCCGUUGGGGCCUUUGAGGCUUUAGUGGCGCAGCUAACGCGAUAAGUAGACCGCCUGGGGAGUACGGUCGCAAGACUAAAACUCAAAUGAAUU
rnacentral:rRNA from 1 species